rnacentral:rRNA from 1 species
AAUCAACGCUGGCGGCGUGCCUCAGACAUGCAAGUCGAACGAUUAAAGCUCUCUUCGGAGAGUGCAUAGAGUGGCGCACGGGUGAGUAACACGUAAGUAAUCUACCUUCGAGUGGGGAAUAACGUCCGGAAACGGACGCUAAUACCGCAUAAUGCAGCGGCAUCGCAAGAUGACAGUUGUUAAAGGAGCAAUUCGCUUGAAGAGGAGCUUGCGGCAGAUUAGCUAGUUGGUAAGGUAAUGGCUUACCAAGGCUACGAUCUGUAACCGGUCUAAGGGGACGGUCGGUCACACUGACACUGAAUAACGGGUCAGACUCCUACGGGAGGCAGCAGUCGGGAAUUUUGGGCAAUGGGCGAAAGCCUGACCCAGCAACGCCGCGUGAAGGAUGAAGUAUUUCGGUAUGUAAACUUCGAAAGAAUGGGAAGAAUCAAUGACGGUACC